GACGAACGCUGGCGGCGUGCUUAACACAUGCAAGUCGAACGGAAAGGCCCUGCUUGUGUGGGGUGCUCGAGUGGCGAACGGGUGAGUAACACGUGAGUAACCUGCCCUUGACUUUGGGAUAACUUCAGGAAACUGGGGCUAAUACCGGAUAGGAGCUCCUGCUGCAUGGUGGGGGUUGGAAAGUUUCGGCGGUUGGGGAUGGACUCGCGGCUUAUGAGCUUGUUGGUGGGGUAGUGGCUUACCAAGGCUUUGACGGGUAGCCGGCCUGAGAGGGUGACCGGCCACCUUGGGCCUGAGGGACGGAGCAGACUCCUACGGGAGGCAGAAGUGGGGAAUCUGGCACAAUGGGACGACGCCUGAUGCAGAAACGCCGCGGUCGGGAUGACGGCCUUCGGGUUGUAAACCGCUUUCGCCUGUGACGAAGCGUGAGUGACGGUAAUGGGUAAAGAAGCACCGGCUAACUACGUG
rnacentral:rRNA from 1 species